GCAGGUGAGACUACCCCCUAAAUUUAAGCAU
rnacentral:rRNA from 2 species